GACGAACGCUGGCGGCGUGCUUAACACAUGCAAGUCGAACGGAAAGGCCCUGCUUGCAGGGUACUCGAGUGGCGAACGGGUGAGUAACACGUGGGUGAUCUGCCCUGCACUUCGGGAUAAGCCUUGGCAACUGGGUCUAAUACCUGAUAGGAGCCAUUUUUAGUGUGAUGGUUGGAAAGUUUUUUCGGUGUAGGAUGAGCUCGCGGCCUAUCAGCUUGUUGGUGGGGUAAUGGCCUACCAAGGCGGCGACGGGUAGCCGGCCUGAGAGGGUGGACGGCCACAUUGGGACUGAGAUACGGCCCAGACUCCUACGGGAGGCAGCAGUGGGGAAGAUUGCACAAUGGGCGCAAGCCUGAUGAAGCGACGCCGCGUGGGGGAUGACGGCCUUCGGGUUGUAAACUCCUUUCGCUAGGGACGAAGCUUUUUGUGACGGUACCUAGAUAAGAAGCACCGGCUAACUACGUG
rnacentral:rRNA from 1 species